UACGAAGGGUGCAAGCGUUACUCGGAAUUACUGGGCGUAAAGCGUGCGUAGGUGGUGGUUUAAGUCUGUCGUGAAAGCCCUGGGCUCAACCUGGGAAUUGCGAUGGAUACUGGAUCACUAGAGUGUGGUAGAGGGAUGCGGAAUUUCCGGUGUAGCAGUGAAAUGCGUAGAGAUCGGAAGGAACAUCUGUGGCGAAGGCGGCAUCCUGGGCCAACACUGACACUGAGGCACGAAAGCGUGGGGAGCAAACAGGAUUAGAAACCCUCGUAGUCC
rnacentral:rRNA from 1 species